AGAUUGAACGCUGGCGGCAUGCUUUACACAUGCAAGUCGAACGGCAGCGCGGGGCAACCUGGCGGCGAGUGGCGAACGGGUGAGUAAUAUAUCGGAACGUACCCAAGAGUGGGGGAUAACGUAGCGAAAGUUACGCUAAUACCGCAUACGAUCCAAGGAUGAAAGCAGGGACCGCAAGGCCUUGUGCUCCUGGAGCGGCCGAUAUCUGAUUAGCUAGUUGGUAGGUAAAGGCCUACCAAGGCUACGAUCAGUAGCUGGUCUGAGAGGACGACCAGCCACACUGGAACUGAGACACGGUCCAGACUCCGUACGGGAGGCAGCAGUGGGAAUUUUGGACAAUGGGCGCAAGCCUGAUACAGCAAUGCCGCGUGAGUAGGAAG
rnacentral:rRNA from 1 species